GACGAACGCUGGCGGCGUGCUUAACACAUGCAAGUCGAACGGAAAGGCCCUGCUUGCAGGGUACUCGAGUGGCGAACGGGUGAGUAACACGUGGGUGAUCUGCCCCGCACUUCGGGAUAAGCCUGGGAAACUGGGUCUAAUACCGGAUAGGACCAUGAUUCGGUUCAUGGUGGAAAGUUUUUUCGGUGUGGGAUGAGCUCGCGGCCUAUCAGCUUGUUGGUGGGGUAAUGGCCUACCAAGGCGUCGACGGGUAGCCGGCCUGAGAGGGUGGACGGCCACAUUGGGACUGAGAUACGGCCCAGACUCCUACGGGAGGCAGCAGUGGGGAAUAUUGCACAAUGGGCGGAAGCCUGAUGCAGCGACGCCGCGUGGGGGAUGAAGGCCUUCGGGUUGUAAACUCCUUUCGCCAGGGACGAAGCCCUUUGGGGUGACGGUACCUGGAUAAGAAGCACCGGCUAACUACGUGCCAGCAGCCGCCGUAA
rnacentral:rRNA from 1 species